UCGUAUAAAAUGGAGGUGCUAGGGCUGUCGCUGACCUUUGAAAAAGGUCGUGCACGCCCGGAGCACUCUCUCAUAUCCAUCUCACCCCUUUGUGCAUUGCCGCGUGGGUCCCCCUUUUGGCUAGCUCCAAGGGGGGUUUUCACGUUUUUACACAGACACCCUUAUGUAUAGAAUGUCUUACUUUUUGCGAUCACACGCAAUCAAUAAUA
rnacentral:misc_RNA from 1 species